UACGUAGGGUGCAAGCGUUGUCCGGAUUCACUGGGCUUAAAGGGUGCGUAGGUGGGCAGGUAAGUCAGUGGUGAAAUCUCCGGGCUUAACCCGGAAACUGCCAUUGAUACUAUUUGUCUUGAAUACUUUGGAGGUAAGCGGAAUAUGUCAUGUAGCGGUGAAAUGCUUAGAUAUGACAUAGAACACCAAUUGCGCAGGCAGCUUACUAGACAGUAAUUGACACUGAGGCACGAAAGCGUGGGGAUCAAACAGG
rnacentral:rRNA from 1 species